GCUCCCGACGCCCCCCGCCCCCGACUCCGGGCCGGCCGGGCUGGCUGCAGCGGCCGGCGCACUCACCCGCUCCCCGGCUUGCGCGCAGGCACACUCAAGAGAGAGCAGCGAGCUCGCCGCGCCGCCGCCGCCACCGCCCCCGGCCCUGCGCCGCCGCCGCCGCCGCCGCCGCCGCCGCCCCCGCCCCGCCUGGCCCCCGGCCCCGCCCCCGGCCCUGCGCCGCCGCCGCCGCCGCUCCUAGGGUUCCGUCUGCUCAUCAGACAACAGAUAUUUAUUGAAUGUUCUUUGUCAUGCGUCUUCAAGAUGUGCCCUGGCCAUUCAUGCAAGUUUCAAGGACUCUGAAUCUGUUGAGAAAAAGAGGUUACGUUCCAAUUCUGCUUUAGUUCCAACCCAAAUGCUGAGAAACACUCCAUGGAAUUUAAUUACAGGGCGAUAACUGUGAUCUUACCAAGAUUUAUGAACAGGAAGAUCCUUGGUGAUUGUAGUCAGUCAAAGGGUGGCUUUGACAUAGCACCUAUCUGUUAGGGCAAAUACUGCCAGGGAAAAGGUGACAUUUGGAAUCAUCUGGGAUUGGACUCUUGAUCAAUAGAUGCGAAAUGUCAGGUGGACAUGAGAACUGUUGGUCUUUGGUACAUAUGUGUUGCAAUGAGUAAGGAUGAGUAAUGUGAAGGAAAAGUAGAAUCUUGGGACCCCAAACUCACUAUGCCAAAGGGAAAGUUAAGCGUGGGAGACUGAGUCAGGCAAAAA
rnacentral:lncRNA from 10 species